AUGUUGUGAUUAUACUAAUAGCUGGUAAUUGCCCAAAUAAUCAUAUGAUUGGUUUUGACCAUAUCUUAAUCUGUUGUGAAUAAGAAUUAGCUCUGCUCUGAUGCUCCAGUAGCAACAUGUACAGUGAAAUACACAUGUACAAAUUAAUAACACUUCAGUAGUCAAAUAUUUUUUUUUUACAAACUGAGUAGACUACUUGUUGAAUGAUAAUCCUUUGAACUUAAGUGGUGGAGAGGUUUAUUAUAGAAGGAGUGAGUGAGCUAUCCUUAUGCCACCAGACUAACCUGGUUUGUUCUUGAGCACUCUGCUUAAAUAGAUGAGUUUAAGUUUAUUGGCAUCAUUUCACUCCAGAAAAAUGACAGUAAGAGCUGUGUGAUAUGACAUGGUGCAUAAAUGUGCAUGAAUGACUAUGAAUGAUACCUAGAAGUCUACCUGCAUUUGUUGCAAAGAUAUACUGCAAAGUUCUCAAUAUGUAACAAAAUAAAUAUAUACCAUGUUAAUAGUUUAUUAUUAAAUCCUGCUUUAAUGGGAGUGCAGUUCCUGCUAGUUCGCCAGUGGCGCUAUUGCGCACAGAGUCUGUGUAUAGACUGCAGCAGAGUUAGGGAGAACUGCUGUGGAUGUGGAUGCUAAGUUAAACCGUGUUGAUCUCACUGUUACUGCUCUGUGUGCAGGGCAAAAUAAAAUCCUCCUCAUCCGAGUCCAGUGUGUGUGUAUUGCUAAAGGGUGAAUGAAGUGGGUUCGGGAGUAAAGUAUAAAGGUCACAAAUAUACACUAUAAACUAACGAAAGAUACAUUUGAACAGAUUUUAUGCCUCUUUGGGCUGGCACUGAAUAAAUAUACACUAUCUAAUCUAUACUGCAUUUUGCAUUCUGACAAGUCAUGCAUCGCUGCCUGCUUCUCAAAACUGCUCCUUUAUUCUUUCUUUAUACUGCUGUUAAAGUCGACAAAUUAAAAAAUUAAGCACAAAAUUACAUGAAACUCCAGAGGAAAUGUGGAUAGCCUGGUGUAGCAAUGACAUGAAUUGAACUAUGUGUUAUAGCAUGUAAAACGGGAUCAUGAAAGGAACAUUCAAAUAGCAACUCAUGUGAACACCUUAAAAAAUAUAUUGUCGUAUUUAGAUUAGGGCAAUCAAUUUGACUACUGAUGUAAAUGUAAACGUAGCUAUUGUCAAACUAGAUCAAUUGCACUGCCCUAGUCAUUCAACCAUCUUCAAAAUCAACUGGGUUUUCUAACACACAAAGCCAAACACACACAUAAAAAGCUGACUGUCAGACAGCAUGUCUCGUGAGUAUCUUUAACAAGUACUUAGUAUCUGAAAAAAAUACAUCUUUAGACUCUUUUUUUUUUCUUUUUUUUUCUAUAGCAAAGCAUCAUUUUAUUCUCUCUCUUUGGAUCUUCAUCCACAAUAAAUGUAACAUGAAGGUCCUUCCAUGAUGCUCCCCUGGAGUGAGUGCAGAGAGCGUGUGAGGGCAGAGAUUAUCAAUUUAAUCAGGGAUCAGAGAGACACUGGGAGAUUCCCUGGAUGUAUGAUGUCCAUCACAAACACUAGAUGUAAUUCCAGUCAGGCAGAACGUGCUUUACAGACUAAGCAGGCUGUGGAGAGCUCAGUUUGCUUGCAACUGUGUGGUGAAGCCACUGUCCUAACUGAAUUUCUCAAAAGAGUGAUGGCAGAUCAGCUUCUUGUUAGUGUUAGAAAGUCCAGACUUUAAAACCAAACAGGCUCUUAAAAAACUUAAUGUUUUGAAAAAAAUGUUUUGAAAAAAAAAGACUCAUAAGGAUUUUCAGCAUUUGGUGAUUUUAUAGUCAUCCAAAUUCAUUUGUCUGAGUUUCUAUCGUUUUGUAAAACUUAAAUGGGCCAUACAGUAGAAUUGUGACAUCUAAAAUAUUAUAUAUGGAUAUAUGUGUAUAUAUAUAUAUAUAUGGACAAUGUUUUAGUUUAUACACAAUAGUUUAUCUCUGAGUAUUUUGUUUAUCAGAUAACUGAAAAGCUACCUUUAUUGUUGUCAUCAAAUAUCGGCAGUUGUCAUAAAGAUUGCACCAGCUCUGAUGCUAAAACCCCUUGUGACUUUAUCAGGGCUGGAAAUCUAGCAAAUAUCUAAAUAUUAAUAUCUGAUUGAACAUGUGCAUGCCCACGUGCUACAGAUAGAAAUAGAAUUCUUGAGAGUUUCACCCCUUCCCAAUCAUUCACCUGAAUUUAAUACCUGAUUGCUUAAUCCCAACCAUACCUCAUAAUCCUAACCUUUCCCACACAACUAAUCCCAACCAUACUUUAUACUGUAGUAGGAAGUAAGGGGAUGUAUAAUCUGUCAGGGGUGCAUUUUUUUAGCACUACACUUGGUUCUUAGGAUUAUUAACUCAGAUAUCCACUGCAAAGUAGCUAUGUUUUUGUUUUCCUAUUUUAUGCUCAUUUUGGAUUUGCGCAUAACAAAUUGGUUGAUUGAAAUGCC